rnacentral:lncRNA from 1 species
CCGCCCUCCCUCCCUCGCGCUCUCUCUCGCGCUCGCUCGCUCGCUCCAGUAUGUAAAUGUGUAAUAGAAGCCAAAUAUGGAGCAGUUGGCUGCCGCCGCCACAGCUCAAGGAUCCGACUUCAUGGGGGGGGGGGGGCACCCUCUGGCAGGCGGCCCGGCGAGCCGCACAGAGCACGGCGAGCGCACGGCGCGGCUGCCGGCCCGCGCCCUUAACCCUUCUGUGCACCCGGCCGGAGCAGCGGUCCCUCCCUCCAGGGGAGGCCCGGUGCCUCUCCCUAACUGCGGCUCCGGAUCCCGGACAUCGGCCCGUGGGGACUGUGCCUUCCAGAGUUCAACAGUCUUGGUUAGAGAAGGAGGAGGAAGACAAUGAUGACAGUGAGGAGGACAAGGAGGAGAAAGAAAGUCCUGCAAUUUCAGAGAGUCCAGCUCUCUGAAGUCGGAAGGAAAUGCAAAGACCCUAUUUGUGGCUGCAGGAGAGGAAAAGAGUCCCGCAAGGAAACUACCAACAGAUGGAGAAAAACUUCUGUGUAUGUCUGUGAGGGGAGCUCUGGAUUUCGUUCACUGAAGUGAGGAGACUCCCGUGAAUGUGGACAGCGCUGUUUCUGGGCUGGCAUCGUGAACUGAAUACAAAAGGAGAAAGUGAGUGAG